CCUACGGGAGGCUGCAGUGAGGAAUAUUGGUCAAUGGGCGCGAGCCUGAACCAGCCAAGUAGCGUGAAGGAUGAAUGCCCUACGGGUUGUAAACUUCUUUUAUGAAGGGAUAAAGUGAGGCACGUGUGCCUUUUUGUAUGUACUUUAUGAAUAAGGAUCGGCUAACUCCGUUCCAGCAGCCGCGGUAAUACGGGGGAUCCGAGCGUUACCCGGAUUUAUUGGGUUUAACGGGUGAGCAGGCGGAGGUGCAAGUCAGCGGUCAAAUUGCGGGGCUCAACCCGGGACUGCCGUUGAAACUGCAGCCCUGGAGUGCGCGAGAAGUAGGCGGAAUGCGUGGUGUAGCGGUGAAAUGCAUAGAGAUCACGCAGAAAUCCGAUUGCGAAGGCAGCAUACCGGAGGGCAACUGACGCUCAUGCACGAAAGCGUGGGUAUCGAACAGGAUUAGAUACCCCAGUAGUC
rnacentral:rRNA from 1 species